rnacentral:rRNA from 1 species
GAUGAACGCUGGCGGCGUGCUUAAUACAUGCAAGUCGAGCGAUCGGACUCGGGGUGGCAACACCCCGGGUUACGGAGCGGCGAACGGGUGAGUAACACGUGAGGAACCUGCCUCGGAGACGGGGAUAACGUUGGGAAACCAACGCUAAUACCCGAUGACCCGAUAGAGGGACGUCCCUCAGUCGGCAAAAGGUUGGGCAACCUUCUGCUCCGAGAGGGCCUCGCGGCCUAUCAGCUUGUUGGCGGGGUAACGGCCCACCAAGGCGAUGACGGGUAGCUGGCGUGAGAGCGCGACCAGCCACACCGGGACUGAGACACGGCCCGGACUCCUACGGGAGGCAGCAGUAGGGAAUCUUGGACAAUGGGCGAAAGCCUGAUCCAGCGACGCCGCGUGGGGGACGAAGGCCCUCGGGUUGUAAACCCCUGUUGUUGGGAAAGAAGCCGGCUUCGUGCCGGUGACGGUACCCAACGAGGAAGCCCCGGCUAACUACGUGCCAGCAACCGCGGUAAGACGUAGGGGGCGAGCGUUAUCCGGAUUCACUGGCGGUAAA